AUGUUAUCCAUAGAAGCAACCUUGAGAAUAACGACGUCCCCAUUAUACAUCAUUCUUAAUCAUGUGGUUCGGUCUCUCAUUUGAGUUCGGACCUUGAUGAGACCUUGAUUCCCUGGCUUGAGCUAUCGCCCCAUUAGUGUCAAACACUUUCUGGUUGGAACCGAAUAGAGAGUUCAUAAAUGAACUUUCCCAUCCAAACAACAUUGUUGUAAACUUCUAUACGGCAAUAUAUUUUGCAUUCAUAAUGGAAGACACUAAAGUCAUUACUUUAAUGUUUCCAUCCAAAUAUCUCUUUAGUCAUAAUAAAGAGAUAUCCGUUUAUCUCUUCAUUCAUAAUGAAGAAACAUCCAAUGAUGGAUUAGAUUCAUAAUCUAAUACAUUUACGCUUCCUUUACGUUACUCUAAUUCUUCCUCAUUCUUUGAGGAAUCUAUCCUUUAGUAUUUCUUAAAUACUUAAGGACUCACUUGACAGUUGCCAUGGUUCUGAUCCUGGGCUUGCACUGAUAUCGUCUUGUACCGUUCUAGGUACAACUCAUAUCAAUGUUUUUCAUACAAUAUGAAAUACAUAAAUCACCUUUUUGCGUAUGCAUAAAGGAUUCUAUUUACGCAUUAUUUCUUUGGGAGUCAAAGAGUACGUUCUCUUUGAGAAGAGCAACUUCUUAGUCUCACUAGAGCUGUCCUUCUAAUUGAAGUUUAUCAUCAUAUGAGAAACUUCCUAGCAUCUAUUGUCUAUUAUUAGGGAUUGAUAUAAUCCAAUUAUAUCAUGAAAUAUAUCAUUAUAGAUUUCCAUCCCAUGUAUAUAGACUAUAUCUCCCAUAUACAUUCUAUCUUUAUAUAAUGUUUCAAAGUCAUAACUUUAAAGAAGUAUUCUUUUUAUUUCCAAAAUUAAUAUAUCAUAUAUAUAUUUAAAUUUUAGGAACAUGAUUAUCUCCCACUAAUCUUUUGUAAACCUAGUAAACAAAGAUUCAUUUACAUCUUUAUGAGAAAUCAAACAAUUUGAACUUUCUCUCAUAAGAUGCAUAUAGCUCCCACUAGCUUGCUAAGAUUCAUGGUGGUUGGAUCUCUACAACUUAUAUGUCUUGUGAUUCAUAGUUUUAGACAUAUAUUAUUAAGACUAUCUUAAUAAUGGUUUCGGAAACCCAUAUUAUGUCCAAACAUUGAAUCACCAUUUAGUUGUAGCUAGCUAUCUUCGAAUUAAUUGAAACCAAGACUACGUAAAAAAUGGUUUCUUCAAAGUCAACCAUCCUUUUGAUUGUAGUUACCUUAAGCUACCAAUUAGCUUAUGAAGGUUUCAUUAUUUCGGGUCAAAUGGUACUUUACCAUUUCCUUGAGUAUAUAUCAUAUAUACACACUCAAUGUAGUCAUAAGGAUUUUCAUUCUUAUUUCUUUCGAAUUAAGAGGUGCAACUCUAUGACAUAGUCAUAAAGUUCAAACCAUUCAACUUAGACGGUUUAUAAAUCCUUCUCGACUACCUUGGAGCUUUUGGUAUAAGAACUAGGUUGUUAUAUUUAUUGAUUACUUUCUUGUCUCUCAAAGAACCCAUUCUUUGAGUUCUAUCUCUCGUUCAUUUGCUUUUAGGCAAAUCACAUUGUAGGAUUACAAUGAACUACCCAACAAAACAACAUUUGUUAGUUGGUUUAUAGAAGUGAUAUCCAAAAGUUAAUUUAAGGAUAUCCCACAAGAUUGUUAUCAAACAAAUAUUGCUUUUAGCACACAACCCCAAAUCUAACAUGCUUAAGAUUUGUCUUUCUUUCCAACUACAUCUUAUGGAGUUAUGAAAAUUUUGGAAGAUCUUCUAAUUGACAAUCAUAUUGUUUUAGAAGUAUAUAUAUCAUAUAUAUGGGUAAUAGAUAACAUCCAACGAACUAAAUCUUAUUCGAGUUCGUUCUUCUCCUUAUGGAGAAAUCUAUUAUCUUAUGAUGCUUAUUUCCUUGAUAUCUUUCAAGGAAACUGUUCUAAAGUGUUACCUUAUCUUGGAUCAAAUCUAAGGAGGUAAUUACUUUAGACAUCUUACUCAUCAACUUACAUUACUUGAAUUCUUUGAAACAUUUUGCAAAGUAUUCGGACUUGUGUUUAUUCAAAAUAAACUAUAGUCCAACCGAGAGUGAUCUUCGGUGAAUGUCAUAUCACAUGAGUAGUAUUAUGUUGUGGACAAGUGCCACUAACAUCUAAGUGAAUUAACCUCAACAACUUUGUGAUUCUUUAUUCUUUCCAAAAAGAAUAAAGAUUCAAACAUUUUGUCUCUAUACAAUUUUAAUAAGAAGGUAUUGGAUCCGGAUCUAACGAUCCAAAGCAUCCAUCUUUGACCAACUCGUAAUUUAUGUUAUAGAGGUAUCACAACUUUAGUUGGGAUUAGUCACUACCUUGCAACCUUUUGGGUUUUAAGCAUCAUUAUAUU
rnacentral:lncRNA from 1 species